rnacentral:ncRNA from 1 species
AGCGUGUGACUGGCGGAUAGUGGGUAAACCACAGGGAGCACGCAGCAGAAAGAAAGUUAUAGGAGCCGACCGCCUGGGCAC